AAAAAGACAAACCCUGGUUUCCGUGCCCAACGUUUGAUCGUCCGUCUUAUUUGAAAAAAUUAUAAAAAAAUUAAAAAGACAAGUCACACAUAAAAUAUUAAUCAUGUUUUAUCAUCUAACAACAAUGAAAAUACGAAUUAUAAAAAAAUUUCAUAUAAGACGGACAGUUAAAGUUGGACACAGAAACUCAGGGUUUGCCUUGUU
rfam:Oryza sativa Japonica Group DNA, chromosome 4, cultivar: Nipponbare, complete sequence.